rnacentral:rRNA from 1 species
AACGAACGCUGGCGGCGUGCCUAACACAUGCAAGUCGAGCGCGAAAGUCUUCGGAUGAGUAGAGCGGCGCACGGGUGAGUAACACGUGGGUAAUCUGCCCUCAGGCCUGGAGUAACCAAGGGAAACUUUGGCUAAUACCGGAUAAAGCCACAUGACGAGAGUGAUGUGGAAAAAGUAGGGGAUCUCUUCGGAGUACUUACACAAGAGGAUGAGCCCGCGUCCCAUCAGCUAGUUGGCGGGGUAAUGGCCCACCAAGGCUAAGACGGGUAGCUGGUCUGAAAGGAUGGCCAGCCACACUGGAACUGAGACACGUUCCAGACUCCUACGGGAGGCAGCAGUGGGGAAUAUUGCGCAAUGGGGGCAACCCUGACGCAGCAACGCCGCGUGAGUGAUGAAGGUCUUCGGAUCGUAAAGCUCUGUCGGCAGGAACGAUGGGUCAGUUGGCUAAUAUCCAACGGACUUGACGGUACCUGCAAAGGAAGCACCGGCUAACUCUGUGCCAGCAGCCGCAGUAACAC